GCUCACUUAGGGAGCACAUACACCAAAAGUGGAACAAUACAGAGAUUCCCAUGUCCCCUGCGCGAGGAUGACAUGCAAAUUCGAGAAGCACUCCAUAUUAAA